rnacentral:rRNA from 1 species
UACGUAGGGUGCAAGCGUUGUCCGGAAUUAUUGGGCGUAAAGAGCUCGUAGGCGGUGUGUCACGUCGGCCGUGAAAACCUGCAGCUUAACUGUGGGCGUGCGGUCGAUACGGGCAUCACUGGAGUUCGGCAGGGGAGACUGGAAUUCCUGGUGUAGCGGUGAAAUGCGCAGAUAUCAGGAGGAACACCGGUGGCGAAGGCGGGUCUCUGGGCCGAUACUGACGCUGAGGAGCGAAAGCUAGGGGAGCAAACGGG